GCAUGAUCGCCACCUCGCGCCGCACGUCCUCGAUGUCCACCGCCGUCUUGAGCUUGGACUUGGAGAUGGACUUGCACGCCAGCAGCUCCUGCGACUCCUGCUCCAUGCACAGCAACAACGAGACAAACGUCAGUCCAUCCAUCCCCGCGGCUUCAUUGCGCUGGUGAA